rnacentral:misc_RNA from 1 species
AAGUAUCUAGAACAUCCGCUACCACACGAUUAUCCAAAAAAAAUAUUUAUAAUAUUUAAAAUUGAUGGGGCUUUAGCCCAAUUAAAAUAUAAAUAAGAACUGAAAAUUUGGUGCACUAGAUGUAUACUAGUGUAUACAUUCCCAUACGUUUGCUCCAAACACAUGUACAUCGAGUUCAUGAGCUUUUUUUAAUGAUUGGCUGACUCAAAUAAAAGUGAUCGGGCCUUCACAACACAUUUCGAAGAUGCAAGGAAGAAUAUAUGAAGUCUGUAGGCUCAAUCAACGGAUUUCAUG